CAGGUUAAGACUUUCUUCGGUCUCUCACAAGCCAUCUGACUUCGGAAGCAUGGACAGCUGGCUCUCACUCAGGUUAAAUAAUUUAACAUUUAGGCCUAAAUGUAACUCUUCUUUUCUACCGGAAAAAAAAAACCCUAUGCAAGAGAGAUUCCGAUUUUGGGGCUAUGCCUUCAGCCUAAGAGAGAGCAAAAUCUUUUUCUACCAGCUAAAAGGAGGUGAAAGUUUUGGUCCCCUCACACCGCGGAUCGCCUUUACUUUGUCUAAUCGGGGUGUUUUGAGCCUCAUCGCUACGCCCGAAGUGCAGAAGAGCCUGCGGGAAACGAGCUCGCAACAACCGAGAACCAGGGAUCAACAACAACUCGCGUCGCUUUCCCUAUGUGCAUAUCACUCGACUCUCAUUUAAGCCAGAUGUGUUAACCUGAUCCCUGCGAAACACCAGCUCUCCGUGGAUUUUGACCGCGAGUGACCGGAUGUUGUUUCCGGCCUGAGGUUGCCUGAAAUGCCGUGAGGCUCGUUUGAAAGAUUGCGCCCGAGACCAUAUUUUUUAUGAACCACCAAAAAGAGACAUUUUACCCCCUAGUACAGAAGACUGGAUCUGAGGGCAGCAGCGGGGACAAAUGAUUGUAAUGAAGCGACGGACAUUUCAUGGCUGGUCUUAGAUAAUCGUGAGUCAUUGUGUCUUAUGGUGAGUAGUUUUGCAAGAGGCAUGCAAGCACUGUAGAAAAAGUAAUCAUAAAACUGUUUUUGUGAACACUCUGCUCCCUACGUUAUGCUUUAAAAAAUGUGAUACAUGUAAUGUGAUCAUCAAAGAACAUGACUUUUUUAAAACUUUUAUUCUUAUGCUUUUAAACUAUGUCACAUUAUCAUAAAAUACUUAUUUGUAUGUUAUAAUGUUUUUCUUACACCAUGUGUAAUUUUUAUAGACACCUUGUUCAUUGUAUCAAUGUGUAAUUAUGUAUCUUUGAUAAAUAAAUAAAAUAUUUAAUCUUG